UGGGAGCUGGUAAUGCCCGAAGUCGGUUUAUAAAGAAACUGCCUAAGGCAGGACUGGUGACUGGGGUUAAGUCGUAACAAGGUAUCCCUACGAGAACGUGGGGAUGGAUUACCUCCUUU
rnacentral:rRNA from 1 species